AUGAUCAGGAAAGGAUGGGUUGCGGUGGCUCCUUCCGCCUGUUGUGACCUAUGCCCAGCCCUGGAAACGGUCCAUCGUAUUGUGCUACGAUGUCGGUAUGUUAAUGCUAUAUGGGACAAGCCGAUGCUAACUUCUCUCGCUUCUGCCUCUUCGGAUGUUCAACUCUUCGUCACACAUGCAGCUGAUCAGCUUCUUCUCAAGCGAAAAUGGAAUGUUCCCUUUGCGGCAUCGGCUGUCUCUCUUUGUGGCAUGCGAGAAAUGAUCGCACUUUCAAUAAAAAAUGUUAUGCUGCUAGCUUGCUUCGUCUGUGGGCCAAUAGAGCUUCCAAUCAAAGAGAUAAAGCGGACUUGCAAACAUGGGCCACGAUGCUUGCGGCUUAGCUUAACCUAA
rnacentral:rRNA from 1 species